rnacentral:piRNA from 1 species
GAACGAUCCUAUUACCCUCAGUAAACCUA